AGAGUUUGAUCAUGGCUCAGGAUGAACGCUAGCUGGAGGCUUAAUACAUGCAAGUCGAGCGGGAUUGGUAGCAAUACCAUGAGAGCGGCGCACGGGUGAGUAACGCGUACACGACCUACCUCUGACAGGGGGAUAGCCCUGGGAAACUGGGAUUAAUACCGCAUAUUAUUCUGAUUAAUAAAGGAUUGGAAUGAAAGUUCAGGCGGUCAGAGAUGGGUGUGCGUCUGAUUAGCUAGUUGGUAGGGUAACGGCCUACCAAGGCGAUGAUCAGUAGGGGGCGUGAGAGCGUGAUCCCCCACACGGGUACUGAGACACGGACCCGACUCCUACGGGAGGCAGCAGUAAGGAAUAUUGGACAAUGGCCGCAAGGCUGAUCCAGCCAUCCAGCGUGCAGGAAGAAGGCUCUAUGGGUUGUAAACUGCUUUUAUCAGGGAAUAAACCUCUGGAUUCACUCCGGAGCUGAAGGUACCGAAGAAUAGCCC
rnacentral:rRNA from 1 species